rnacentral:rRNA from 1 species
AUUCCAGCUCCAAUAGCGUAUAUUAAAGUUGUUGCAGUUAAAAAGCUCGUAGUUGGAUUUCGGAAUGGGUCAGUUGGUCCGCCUCACGGUGUGUUACUGACUGGUCUGUUCUUCUUCGCAAAGACUGUGUAUUCUCUUCAUUGAGUGUGCUCAGGAUUUACGACGUUUACUUUGAAAAAAUUAGAGUGUUCAAAGCAGGCCUACCGCUUGAAUACAUGAGCAUGGAAUAAUGGAAUAGGACUUUGGUCUUAUUUUGUUGGUUUCUAAGACCGAAGUAAUGAUUAAGAGGGACAGUUGGGGGCAUUAGUAUUUCGUUGUCAGAGGUGAAAUUCUUGGAUUUACGAAAGACUAACAACUGCGAAAGCAUUUGCCAAGAAUGUUUUCAUUA